rnacentral:lncRNA from 1 species
UUUUUUUUUUUUUUUUUGCUCCUCAAGUACAGGAGCAAUUCUGACAUCUUAAAUUGGGAGAUCAUCUAAAAUAAAAUAUUGUAUGAAAAAAGCUACACAAAAGUAUGAUGAAUGGUGGUCUGAACUAAGAAUAUAUUUUUUUUAAGCAAAGGUUAUAUUGAAGACUUUUACAUCAUACAGUCAACCUGCUCAUUGUAAACAGGAGAUUUUGGAUUUGAACAAUCUGGUUCAUGUCCUAAGGUGAUCAAUAACACCAGAAAAAUCAUUGCAUUCUCCAUGGUGUUGAUAAUCACACAUAGCCAUGUCCUCGUUAGUCACUUAAUUAUUUUGAUGCCACAAUGACUCUAGUGUUUGAGUUUAAGAAUACCUGUUUUUUUGCAAAGAAAUUUUCAAAAUUUCAAAUGUAUACUUUCCAAUUAGUACUGUACUUUGAGUCGCUCUACAAAGUGUGUUAAACCUGCCUCAAGUUUUCAAUCUUACAGCAUCUCUGUGACAUCUCCUGCAGUUGAACUAGCACUCAGAGGCCACAGGAGAUCAGUGAUUAAAGUCUCUGUAUUUGGAUGUGCCAGGAUUUCCUCUGCAUGAAGCCCUGGACCCAGGCCUUCCAAAAUAAUUGUAGUUUCCCAUCUUCCCUCAGCAUCUACUCUAGGAAAGAAAAUUGAUUGGAUUACAGUGAAAACCAAAGAGACAGUAGAGAAGCAAUCAGCUCCUACCUUUUUUCUUCCACUUUAACUCUGGUCUUACCCUUGAACUUGAUAUGUGAUUUAGAUCUCCUCAACUUACCCUAGUACUCUUUAAAGACUCUGGCCAGAUUUGUCAUUUAAUGCUCUCAAUCCUCAUUGACUUAGGUUUGAGAGAUUGUCUUCAAUCUUGCUUGGGGACAAAAAAGUGACCUGGUCCUCCCAAGAGCAAUACUUAAAUGGAAGAUAAUUGAUAAGAAAGAAACAAGAAGAGUUACGAGAAAUUGCUGAGAAUGGAGUUGAAGAGUCUUUGCUCUGAUGUCGUCGGAGGUCAUCUCUGAGGAAGUGUAUUCGUCAGGCUGGUUAUGUGAAUGGGCUUUAAUAGGCACUUAGUGGACAAAGGUCAGAUGAAGUAAUGGCUUAUUUUGCAAUAUUUGUCUGAAUCUCACUUCUCUGAUACUUCAGCCUGUCUUCGUCAAGAGUUUUCUCUGCCACAAGUCACUUUGUGUACUUAAGUGACUUUAGAGUAUUUUUGAUCAUGGCCACAUUAUACCUUUGGAGUGAAGUGUCAGGUAUGUAUGUUUGUUUAUUUUUUAUCUAUAUACAACCUAUCAACCUAUUUUCACCUUGUGUAGUUUUUUGGUUUUGUUUGUUUAUUUUGCUUUUUAGGGUCGCGCCUGUGGCAUAUGGAAGUUCCCAGGUGAGGGGUCGAAUAGGAGCUACAGCUGUCAGCCUAUACCACAGCCACAGUAACACCAGGUCCUAGAUAUGUCUAUGACAUGCACCACAGCUCACGGCAAUGCUGGAUCCUUAACCCACUGAGAAAGGCCAGGGAUCAAACCUGCAACCUCAUGGUUCCUAGUCAGGUUUGUUUCCGCUGUGCCACAAUGGGAACUCCACACCUUGAAUAGUUUAACCCUAUACAGAGCUGGGGUUUGAUUCUUGGGAGGCAGACUGGAUUAUAAACCUUACUGAAGUCAGCCAGGAAUAAAAUGAGACAAUGAAAGAAAGGAAUACAAUUUGUCAAUGGAACAAAGGGUCAAUUGGAGGCAGUGUCUUUAGACUGUGUUAUAAAAAUCAAUGACAGGUGUCCGGUCCAAAAAAAACAUUCUUUUGGUUAUCUACUACCACAAAACAACUUACACAAGACUUGGUGGCUUAAAAUAACAAUAAUCACUGUUUUCUUCAUGAAUCCACAUUUGUGUGGGACUCAUGUGGUGGUAAUAGGAACUGGAGGAUCCACUUCAAAGAUAGCAGGUGCACAUGAUGGACAAGUUAGUGCUAGUGUUAUAGGUCAAAUUGCCCCCCUCCCCAACUUCAUAUUUUGAAAUUCUCAACCUCAGUACCUCAGAAGCUGACCUUUUUUGGAAAUAGCACCUUUAUAGAGGUAAUCAAGUUAAAACAAGGUCAUAAGGGCAGACUCUAAUCCAGUAUGAGUAAUAUCCUUAUAAGAUGGGGAAAUUUGGAAAGAGAAAAGGUCCAUGAGGACACAGGGAGAAAAUGGCCAUCUACAAAACAAGAAGAGAAGCCUGGAAUGCUUCCUCUAUAGCCCUAAGAAUGAAUUGACCCUUAUUCCUUAUUGGUCUCAAGGUUGGUACAACACCUUGAUCUCAGACAUUUGGUCUCCAGAACUGUUGGACAAUAAAUUUCUGUUGCUUAAGCCAACCAGCAGCCCUAAGAUAUUAAUAUAGCUAGUUAUUAGGUUCUCAGAAAGUAUGCUUCUCCCUGAGAGCUCUUGAGCUUCCUCAUAGCAUGGUGGCUGCUUUCCAAGAAUGAGAAUUCCAAGAGAAAUGAAGUAGAGAUUACCAGUUUCUUCAGUUUGGGCCCAGAAACUGGCGUGAUGUCAUUUCCUCUGUAAUCUACUUCUCAGAAAUCAAGAGGGCUGAUUCAGUGGAAGGGAACAGAUGCCUCUAUUCUUGUAGGAACAAACAUCCAACAUGCUUGUUGAGGUCAUGUGUGAUAAUCGUCUCAAGCACUGCGAUUGUCAAAGAAAGUCAAGAAUGGAACAUCUCAAAUAUAUCUUGUAAAAGAUAACUGAUAAUCAUCAAUUACUUACCAGGUCUUACACAUCUUAGUAAAUGUUCAUGUGCUUUAUUACUUUCUACACUCUUCAUUAAUCUUAUAAUAUAGAUGUUGCUGUUAUUGUUCCAAGUUCAGAAUCACAAGAGCUAAGCAACCUGCCCAGUGUCACAUGGUUAAUUAUAGUCAGAAUUGAUAUUUGAAACCAAAAUUCUUCAGAGCCUACACUUUUAGCUACUGCAGUACUGUUAUAUGUAUCUUUCAGGAUGACUAGACUAGAAGUUUCUAUUCUGGAGAUAGCUCUGAUGUGAAGCCUGCAAACAUGCACAUGCAAUUUCCAAGAUUCUCUUCCAGAACAUGUUCCCAUAUCCUCUCAUUUAAAAAGAAAAUACAACUCAGUUCUCCUUUCAUUUUACCAUAAAGAAUAAGAAUGAAAUCUAGCAAGUUCUAUAAACAUCCAUAGAUUUAGGAGGACAGAUAUAGGCCAGAUGAAAAGUUUGUUACUCCAAGAAUAAACCCAAGUUCAUUGAUCUUAUAGGCACUGGUAGGAGAAUAAAUCAAUUUUAUUCUGUAUCCCAUCAUUCUUUACAGUUUUGUAACAAGGUGUACUUUGUUGGAUUUUAAUCUGCCUACAUUUGAGACAGCAAAGCUCUCCACAAUCAUCUUUUAAUGGUAUCGCAAUUUAUAGACAGUAACUAAUUUCAAACUUCAUAGCACUUGGCUUUUAUGAUUAUUUCAAAUCAUUUAAAUGCAAAUGAAUUUUCAGAGAGAGAAAACAUCAAAUGCCCUUGAGUGGCAACAUGUAAUAGAACCGUGCACAGCAGCCACUAUAGGAAUCUGAAGCAGUCGGAUAGGGUUGGAUGGUAAGGCUGUAUAAAAGUGUUUGCCUAAAUCCAAUUUACAUUUCAUUCUACAUUAUAUUCUAUUUACCUAUUUUGUCAUUUCAGUAUGACUUCCUUAAUCCUCCUCUGAAAUUCCAUCUACUCAUUGCAAACCUAAAUCUGAGUUAGGAAAAUGAGGAAUAGCAACACAACAUUCCAAAAUAAUAAUUGAAAACUCCUAAAUUCCUCUUGCUUCCCUAAACCUCUUUGCAGUUAAUGAUGUUACUGCAUGAAGCAGCCCCAAACAUCUAUGCAUGCAUUAAUCUAUUGUUUUUCUUUCAAACUGGGUGUAUGUCUGCUGCCUGAUCAAGUCAUAUUUCCUGUACAGAACUGUUAAGCAACAACAUACAUAUGGCGUUGGACAUGGAAGGCUGGCCCCUAUAUGAAUCCAUCCUAGUUUGAUAGUUUGCAAAAGCGGUGGAAUUAUCACAUCACUGCAGAGUCCAUUUAGAGAAGAGUUGUGGACAGUGAUGAGCUCUUCAUGGAGGAGGAAAGACGACACUUCAUCACCUUACCCUACCUAGUGCACAGAGUGAAACUAAAUUGGGCAUUGGCAUUGGGGGUAUAAGGACAGGUGGUGCAUUAUCCCUGGUCCCUGUGGGUUCACAAUAUAACAGAAGAAAAACAUGUCACUCAAUGGCUGUAUCUUAUGCAGGACCGCAGGACCCUCUCCAAGUCUUAAAGAAUGUGGAGGCAAAGAAGUUGGAUCAUGUGGCAUAUAUUACAGAGAAUAGCUUGAUUAUGUCCUUGUUUUCAUUCCCAGUGUUGGAGGACUUCCCUUCAUGAUGCCCAUCACUUCUAAUUUUUAAUUAUUUUUAAUUAGUGGUCCUCUCUCUCCAGUAUAAGUGCUGUUGAGACAAGGACGGCAUCUUCUUGCUCAGUGCUGUAUCACGCAGCUUAGCACAGGGCUCUGCAGGUAAGGGUAAGUAAUCCAUAAAUGUUUAUUAAAUGUAAGCACAAAAGUCAAGAUUUCUUCCCAAAAAUUUAAGUCACGAUCAUCACAGUAGGCUUCCACGCCAAUCAUGUGAUCUCCUGUCCAUCAUUUUCCUGCCUGUACAGGUUCCCUCUUUUCCACGUCUACCUCUUCUGGUCCAUCAUCUAGACCACUGCUCUCACUCUUCUCUGUAUGGUUCUUCAAAGGCUAUUUCAGUGAAUUGCUUUUAUUCAAAGAAUUAGCCUGAUAUUGCAACCUCUAAUGCUCUUUAUAGCUCUGAAUUUGUACCACAGGAGUUAUUUUCAUGCCUUUCUGCAUAAAAUGAGUGUGUUAUGUUUGGCUUCAUGAAGUUCAUGUGUGUGUGUAUGUGUGUGUGUGUUCAGCAUGAAACUCCUCAAAAUAAAGGUUAUUAAAUCUUUCAUGUUUUGUUCUCCACUUUGAAGAAUAUGGUAUCAACCUCAAUAAAUGGAACACACAGCCUGAUAGGCUUUUAUGAUCACCUCAACACUAGAUCUUGCUCUCCAUUUUCCAGAAGAGCUAAAUGACCAUCAGAGCAUAAAGUGCCCAGCCCAGCAUCAAAUAGCAUGUGGAAAAGCGGGACCCAGUUUUCACUCGCUUCAGUUUCUAACUGUCAUCAUUCUUAGAUGCACAAUGAUGGAUCAUAUGAAAGAUGAGAAUCUGAACCACUCAAUAUCCACUGUUCUUCAAUACCAGUUACCUCCCUGACCUGGGCCAUCAUCAUCUCACCUCCAAAAUGAAAAGUCUGAAUUAGGGAACUUUCUAUAUGCCCUCACAACCCAGAAGCUCCAUUUUCCAUUUUCUGAGUCUAUGGUUUCCAUUGCCAAAGAAAAAUAAUAAAAGAUUCUGAAUUACAAAAUUGAGCAUUAUGAAACAUGAUGUAAUAAACUAACCCUUUUAUUACCACAUAAUUACAUUUUUACAGUAACAUGUGCAAAAAAAAAAAAAAGAACUAGGUAGGGAAUACAGUAUGUAGCUAUCACUUGAAAUCACUAAAGAGCUUUGGAUUCAAUUAGACAGACUGACAAAUGAGACAAAAAUUACAGGGAAAAAGUUGAGUUAUCUAUUCAAGGAACACAGGGCCCAUGGGCAGAUUUAUUGAGUGUGUGGUGUCUCUUAGAACAAAUUCCACCAACUAUUUUGACAAAAACUUCAAAAGAGCUACCAGAAUAAUUUUUGGAAAAGAUAUUCAAAGAAGAUUAGUUGGAUUUUGAAAGUGUUUCAUUUGGGACCAUGGAUCAUGAAGGGUGAUAUAGAACAAUAGUUAAGGGCAUAGACAUUGAAGUCGUUGAGAUCUGAGUUAAAUUUGGACUCUGUAACUUUCAUUUGCAGCCUGGAUCAAGUUAUUUAAUAUCCACAAGCCUCAAUACACACAUCUUUAGGCAAAGAUAAAUAAAAAUAUUUCCCUCAAGUACUUUGUGUUUGGUUUCAGAGAUAUGAUUUGCACAGUUCCCAGGGCAUAGCAAGUGCUCAGUAAAGUUGAUAUAACAGGAGAUCAAUAAUUAUUAAAUUGAAUUCACACAGUUUUAGAAAGGUAUAUUGCUGAGACAAUUGCCUCAAAUCCUUUCUGGAAGUCAGAGAUUGUAAAUAAGCCACAAAGAAUGGAGAUGGAAUGAAAUGAGAAAAGAAAGUUGAAUAAUAAUAGUCAUUAAUAUUUGCAAAGUGUUUCAAAAACUCUCUUCUGUGCUUAGCUCACUGGAGAGUCUCAUCAAUCCUGGAAGUGGGCAGAAGAGGGAUCGCUAUUUUUACUGAGAGAUGAGGAAAUUAGGUGGCA